GUCUUCUUGGCUUAGUUGGUUAAAGCGUCGGUCUCAUAAUCCGAAGGUCGUGAGUUCGACCCUCACAGAGGACA
rnacentral:tRNA from 2 species